AACGCACAUUGCGCUCUCUGGUAUUCCGGAGAGCAUGCUUGUUUGAGUAUCAGUAAACACCUUCAGUUUCUGCUUCUUUCUCUGUUGAAAAUGACAGGGGGGGAAGGGACGGGAGCUGGACUUGAGCGAUCCCAACGGCGGCAAGAUCUUGAUCUGCUGAUUGGCGGGUUGCUUGAAAUGCAGGUGCGGCAGGACACAUCUUCUGAGCUAUAAGCAUUACUUAUUUAGUCCCGUGAUACGGACUAUUACUAUUGCUGCAGCUAAAAUAUUAAAGGUCGAUUGUCCUUGUGCCCGACUGAUGCAGGAAUUGUCGAGGAUAAAUUAUCCUCGUUCAACUCGAUCUCAAAUCAAGUAAGACUACCCGCUGAACUUAA
rnacentral:misc_RNA from 1 species